GCCUACGGCCAUACCCACCUGAAAGCGCCCGAUCUCGUCUGAUCUCGGAAGCUAAGCAGGGGAUGGGCUUGGUUUAGUACCUGGAUGGGAGACCGCCUGGGAAUACCAGGUGUUGUAGGCU
rnacentral:rRNA from 1 species